rnacentral:rRNA from 1 species
ACGGGAGGCAGCAGUGGGGAAUAUUGCACAAUGGGGGAAACCCUGAUGCAGCAACGCCGCGUGAAGGAUGAAGGCCCUUGGGUCGUAAACUUCUGUUCUAAGGGAAGAUAAUGACUGUAUCUUAGGAGCAAGUCCCGUCUAACUACGUGCCAGCAGCCGCGGUACUACGUAGGGGGCCAGCGUUAUCCGGAAUUAUUGGGCGUAAAGAGUGCGUAGGUGGUUUCCUAAGCAUGGGGUUUAAGGCAAUGGCUUAACCAUUGUUCGCCCCAUGAACUGGGUUACUUGAGUGCUGGAGAGGAAAGCGGAAUUCCUAGUGUAGCGGUGAAAUGCGUAGAUAUUAGGAGGAAAACCGGUGGCGAAGGCGGCUUUCUGGACAGUUACUGACACUGAGGCACAAAAGUGUGGGGAGCAAACAGGAUUAGAUACCCUGGUA